rnacentral:rRNA from 1 species
GAUGAACGCUAGCGGCAGGCUUAACACAUGCAAGUCGAGGGGUAACAGGGAGAGCUUGCUUUCCGCUGACGACCGGCGCACGGGUGCGUAACGCGUAUGCAACCUACCUUAUACAGAGGGAUAGCCCGAGGAAAUUCGGAUUAAUACCUCAUGGUAUUGUUUAUUCGCAUGAAUGAAUAAUUAAAGAUUUAUCGGUAUAAGAUGGGCAUGCGUUAGAUUAGCUAAUUGGAGAGGUAACGGCUCACCAAGGCUACGAUCUAUAGGGGGCCUGAGAGGGUGAUCCCCCACACUGGUACUGAGACACGGACCAG